GAUGAACGCUGGCGGCGUGCCUAAUACAUGCAAGUCGAGCGAACGGACGAGAAGCUUGCUUUUCUGAUGUUAGCGGCGGACGGGUGAGUAACACGUGGAUAACCUACCUAUAAGACUGGGAUAACUUCGGGAAACCGGAGCUAAUACCGGAUAAUAUUUUGAACCGCAUGGUUCAAAAGUGAAAGACGGUCUUGCUGUCACUUAUAGAUGGAUCCGCGCUGCAUUAGCUAGUUGGUAAGGUAACGGCUUACCAAGGCAACGAUGCAUAGCCGACCUGAGAGGGUGAUCGGCCACACUGGAACUGAGACACGGUCCAGACUCCUACGGGAGGCAGCAGUAGGGAAUCUUCCGCAAUGGGCGGAAGCCUGACGGAGCAACGCCGCGUGAGUGAUGAAGGUCUUCGGAUCGUAAAACUCUGUUAUUAGGGAAGAACAUAUGUGUAAGUAACUGUGCACAUCUUGACGGUACCUAAUCAGAAAGCCACGGCUAACUACGUG
rnacentral:rRNA from 1 species